GUUAAACCUGCCUUGCAUUCCUAAGAUAAACUCUGUUUGGUCAAGAUGCAUUAUCCUGGCCGGGCAUAGUGGCUCACACCUGUAAUCUCAGCACUUUGGGAGGACAAGGUAGGUGGGUCACUCGAGGCCAGGAGUUUGAGACCAGCCUGGCCAACAUGGCAAAACCCCAUCUCUACUGAAAAUACAAAAAUUAGCUGGGCUGGUGGUGCAUACCCGUAAUCCCAGCUACUCAGGAGGCCAAGGCACAAGAGUUUCUUAAACCCAGGAGGCAGAGGUUGCAGCAAGCCGAGAUCCCACCACUGCACUCCAGCCUGGGCAACAGAGUGAGACCCUGCCUCCAACAACAACAACAACAACAACAAAAAGUGUAAUCCUUUUUAUUUAACUUGUUGGACUUGAUAAAACUCUAAGAAUUCUUGUGUUGAUGUUCAUGAGGGAUAAUUGUCUUCUUUUCUUGCAAUGUCUGAUUUGGGGAUCAAAGCAAUGCUGGCCUCAGAGACAGAACUGAGUAUUCUUUCCUCUUAUAUUUCUUGUGAGAGGUUGUGCAGAAUUAGUAUUAUUCCCUUAAAUACGUGGCAACAUUUACCACUAAAGCUACCUAUGUCUACCGUUUUCUUUGUGAUAACACAUCUUUCAUAGAGCUAUGUAGGUUUUCCACUUCUUCCUAAGUAAACUAAUUUGUAUCUUUUAAGGAAUCUGCAUGGGUUCAUCUAAAUUGUCAAAUGUAUUCCUAGAAGUUAUUCGUAAUAGUCUCUUAUUAUUGUUGUAAUAUCUGUAGAAUCUGUAGUGAAGCUACCUAAUUUCUGACAUUGGUAAUCUAUCUUUUCUCCUGAUCAGUCUAAAGAGAAUUUUCUUGAGCUUCUCAAAGAACCAGCUUUUGGUUAAUUAAUUUUCUAUAUUUUCUCUUCCUAAUGUCUAAUUUCUGUUUUACUUGCAUGAUUUCCCCUUUUCUGUGUACACUUUUAAUUUGGUCUUUUUUUCCUAGUUUCUUAAAGUGGAAGCUGAGGUCACUGAUUUGAGACCUUUUUUUCUAACACAGGCAUUGAGCCCUAUAAAUUCCCCUCAGUACUGCUUUACUUGCAUCACGGGAUACAAAGCCGACACAAAAGCCAACUGUAUUUCUAUACACCAGCAAUGAACAAGUAGAAACCAAAAAUCAGAAAAACAAUACCAUUUACAACAGCUCCAAGAAAAUAGUUACAAAUCUAAGAAAAUAUGUACAAGAUCUGUAUGCUAAAACUAUAAAAUGCUGAAGAAAGAAACUAAACAUGCAAAUAAAUGGAGAGACACGUCAUGUUCACGGAUUAAAAGGCGUUUAUUAAUCUACCUCCCAAACG
rnacentral:lncRNA from 1 species